rnacentral:tRNA from 1 species
GCUGCGAUGGCCGAGUGGUUUAAGGAGUUGCACUCGAAAUCCAAUGGGAUAUUCCCGCGCAUGUUCGAAUCCUGUUCGCAGCG